rnacentral:lncRNA from 1 species
UCAAAGGUAUAAAGUUUCUCAACUCACUUUGUUUUGAGUUGAGUCUUGGUUCACCCUUAUACUAGGCUUUGAAUUUCAUGGGUAAUGUUUUGUUUUUUAGUGCAUACAAGCAUGAUUCCGCCUUUAAAUGUUAAUUGCAUGCCACAGAUGUUGCUCAAAUGAACAUGUUUUUCACAAAAUUUCCUUCAAGUGGUAUCAAGAGCCUAGGUCUAGUAGUUGGUGAAUCCUUUUGGGUUUUGUAUUUUCAUAGUUUAUGAUUUGAAUGUUGUAAUUGUUACAAGCUUUAUUCUUGCUUCUUUGAAUGUAAAUUUUGUUAGAAAAUUUGCCAUCUCAAAUGUUGUAGAUGUAGUUCAUAUGAGCAUGAAUUUUGGAGCUAAAAUUUGGUGCCAUGUUUUUGGGGAAAUUCUGCCAAAUCCAAAGGGUGGAUUUUUGGGUUCAUGUUUGUCUUGUUAAAAGUGUUUUAAAGUGACAUUAGGAACCCCUAAGUACCCUAGUAUGGUAAUAUGUUUUUUCCCUUAAGUUUGAGAGUUUUUAGGGUGUCUUUGGGUGAAAAAUGUUCAUGGAGCUCUUAUGGGUUUUGAUGGAUGUUCUUCAUUGUUCUUGUUAUGUUUUUGGCAAGAACAAAAAGGUUGGGUAUUUUGAUUCAAAGUUUUUGGUUGUUUACAUAAAGUUUUUGUUAGUGAUGGAUGAUUUGAAUUUUCAAUCAAUACUCAUACCUUUUCUACUAUUCACACCAUACCAAUCACUUACACCUUUUCCUUGUUUCAAGGAACCAUGUUUUAUGGAAAUCACUUUUUCAAACCUACCUAUCACCUUUCACUUUUGUUGAAAAAUUCAAAAGUUUUAUGACACCUUCUCACAUCCAAAAUCAGCCACCCUAUUAAUAGGGUACUUUUGCGGCUUUUAUGCAAUUACAUAAAGUUUUGAUACUUUUGUGUAUUUGUACUUUGACCCGAAAGUUUACAUUUUUACGUAAAGGUCCAAAAUCACUAAAGGACAAAAUGUUUUGGUCCUUUAAUGAAGUUUUUGUAUUUUUAUGAAAUUUUUGGGUUCUAGUUGUAAUUACAUGAAGUAGUGGACUUUUGUGGUUUUACAAAGUGACCUCAAAAGUUUGUGUUUUGCAAUAUAGCCCAAUAGUUGAGGUUAUUGUUUUUCGGCCCAAAUUAGUUGAGAACAAAAUAGUUUUGUAUCUUUAAAUGAGAAUUGGAUUUUCAUUUCAUUUAGCUCCAUUUAAAUCAAUCCAUGGAUACAAAAACCAAAUGAAAAUGUUGCAUUCAAGUUUAAUUAGUUAAAGCGUUAAUUAAUUAAAGAAAGGGUGAUUAUGAACCUAAGCCUACGAUAAUUGAGCUAUGUGAAAGGUCAUCUCAAAUUUAUUUGAACCAUGGGAAUGUGUAGAUUAGAUUUUGGUUGUAAUUGGAUAUGAUCAAAUAUUGUAAAAGAGCAUAAGCUCUUCUUUACUUUGAAGUACUUCUUUCUUGCUUUAUUUGAUAUGCAUGAAAAUGAAGUAGAGGGUCCAACGCCCAAUAAGAAAACAUGCCUUAAUGUGAUUAAACGCGUAACUAAAAUCAAUCACCAUCCCUAGACCGAGAUUCAACACUAGGCUCGUGUUGGACCGAAUCAAAGGUUCAUAGUCAUCCUAAGGCCCUAAGGCAACUAUAUAGUCCAUCAAUGAACGCAAACCUUAUGUUAGUAGUACCAUAUACUCUUACUUUAAAAACCGUUUUACAAGCAUAGUGGGAGUAUCAUAUACAACUAAAUCAAUCACAUGGACCAAUAGUUGUAAUAGGACCAAAUUGUGUUAAUAAGAUUAAAAUGCAUGCUUAUAUGUGAUGAGACCUCAAACCCUCAACCAAACUAUUAUUAAGUUGAUAAGCGUGAGAGUGCUUUGAACACUCUUUCGUGGCCUUCCACCAUGGUAGGCUCCGAUCGUUUGUGACUCGUACACCGACUUCACCCUAUCAUGGGGGAGUACAAAGUGCGUGCUUACACUAGGCAACGAGAAUGAUCAACAUCAUAUCAUUGUGAGGUUGUUCUUGAACCCCUACUUGAACUUGCAUGGUGGGAAUGACUUAACUAAGUGCAAUGGAGCCAACAUCAUAUCAUUAUGAGGCUUCAUUCUCUAGAGGCCAAAUAAGAUGGGUACUUGCAAGAGAUGCAAAUGAGUAAGCGUACUCUCUCAUUAUUAUUGAUGCUAGCCAACAUCAUAUCAUUGUGAGGUGGGCUUGGUAAUGAUGAGUCUCCCAUACCCUACUAAGAGUUUCCUCCAAAACUCUCGAAUUCCGAUGAGGGAUAUGGAAUUUGCCAAAAAUAGUGGGUGGUGCUAUUUGAUUUAAAGACCCGGAUCAAAUGGCUUAAAAUCAAUCAAUUUAUAUUUGUUAUGUAUUUAUUUACCAAUAUAUUUGCAAACGCUAUCCAAAACUUGACAAAGAAAAAGCCGAAAGCUUUAGUUUCCGGACUUGGUACUACAAUCCCAUAGAUUGUCUUUAAUGGCUUGUAUAUGUACCUAUGUAGUCUCAUCCUCGCAAUCUUCCUAUUGAUAAUGUAUCAUUGGAAGAACAUGUUAGAUAAGUCUAUCAUAAAGAGGAGAACACUUUUAAUGUCAUAAUUCUUCAAUUACAAAUUGUUGUAUGAAGAAAGUAAGAGUUGCUUUGAACAACCCUUAGUUAACGCAAACAUUAGUGCUUCGUUUCUUUGUUACAUGAACAAGGAACUUGAGAAGUGAAAGCACAAGGGCAUGGACACUUUAUGUGCCAUGAUUCUUCACUUACAAAUUGUUGUAUGAAGAAAUGAUAGUUGCCUUGAACAACUCUUGAAAGUUUGUAAUUAUGUUUAGAACAUAAUGGUUGGUUGAAAAAAAUAGUCCAUCAACAUGGACUUAUGAUGAUUUUGAAUCAUUGAGUGUUGAAGUGUUAAACCACUUCACGAGAUGGAAACUAGGCAAGGACUUCACUUUUAUGUCCCUAUCCAAAUGGUUCACUAAGUUUAUUGUAAACUAUAUAGUGAACAAUAACCACACGCUCUCCAAAUUGUUUGAUGUAUAUAACACAAUUGAAAUAAGUUUCAAGAGAGAUAGUGGGAGUUUAUGAACCAUGACUAUUGUAGUCAAAGGAGAAGUCAAAUAAAGAAGGCCAAAUAACUCCAAGGGAACAAACGUUCUUUAUGAAAGGAUGGACAUUGGAAGGGGUAUUUGCAAGAAAUGUCUUGCAAAUGUCAAGAACACACCUUUCGAAGGUGUUGUAAAUUGUUCUUGAAUAGUUCAAAAUUGUUGGUUCUUCUACUUGAAUGCUUGAUUCCGUAUUAGUAACUAUGUUUUACAAUCGUUGUAAAAGUGUGGCUAAUAAGAAGUAGAAGAUUAAUGAGAGAAGAGAAAGUACUUCACAUUCGGAACGUGAAUCAAAUGUAGAUCUCUGCGAAAGCAGGUAGUACUUACUUCCUCAUAUGAACUACCAAAGAAAAUGGAAAAACAAAGAUUGUCUUUACAUUCCAAUUUGAAUAAAGGAACUUAAUUCCAUAUGAGAAAUGGAUGAAUGUUUUGUUUGACAAAACAUUGUUCUUUAUUAAUGAAUGAUUAGAUUAUUGUAAU